CAUUGCAUGACAUUACGGUGAGCACUUGUGGAAAAAGAAAUCAGUGCCUAAUCAGAAAGUUGUAAAGAACCAUGCACAGUUUUGUGAUCAUAUAAACAGAAGAAAUUAUAUGCAGAUCUGAAAUAACAAUUGAAGAAACGCGUAUCAAAUGCUGUAAACUGUCACGGCAAAAGCCUGCCGUUUUAUCUUUUUGUAGUUAAGAAUAGAAGCUGUUUUUCUGGCGUGUGAUAUUCGCUGUAACAAUAGCCCGGCCGAAUAAUCAGAAACAGAUUUAUCAUCAAAUUUCCUGGAUAAAUGUGAAUGCUGGACACACGUGGGCUGUAGAUACACAUUAAUCUGAAUCUCUUGCUGUUUUUUCAGGUCAUAAAGUUUAAAGAGCAUGCAAGGAUUCCUUAAUAUUCCCCUGGCUGCACUGAUUGGACAAACAGAUACCCCGCCCCUAAACUGACGCCAUUGUUCAGUAUUCAUCAUCUGCUUUGAUAAAACCAUUUCAUGGUGCGAUACCAUGGCCGAGUUGUCAGCCAUUGAUGGGAGAAGCAAUCAGAGAUGUUGUACAGUGGACACGUGUCCCAGCGUCCACCUGACAUCCGAUAGGAAACGAGCCUCCGUCGCACGUGCCACGAUGUCAACGGUGCCGGAGCAGGACAAGUGGGAAAAUACAUCAAUGGAAGAUUUUUAGUGCUAAAUAGAGAUAUAUUUGAUUGUGUAGUUGCAAUAAAUCUAAAAAAAGAUUGUUCUCAUUUUAAUACUCAAUCUCUCAGGGUUAUUAAGAGUUUGGGAACUGCAUUUGGGUUUCACAAACUGCAUAAUGUUUCACGACAC